rnacentral:rRNA from 1 species
AACGAACGCUGGCGGCAGGCCUAACACAUGCAAGUCGAGCGAGGACUUCGGUCCUAGCGGCGGACGGGUGAGUAACGCGUGGGAACGUGCCCUUUGCUUCGGAAUAGCCCUGGGAAACUGGGAGUAAUACCGGAUGAGCCCUUUGGGGGAAAGAUUUAUCGGCGAAGGAUCGGCCCGCGUUGGAUUAGGUAGUUGGUGGGGUAAUGGCCUACCAAGCCGACGAUCCAUAGCUGGUUUGAGAGGAUGAUCAGCCACACUGGGACUGAGACACGGCCCAGACUACUACGGGAGGGAGCAGUGGGGAAUCUUAGAAAAUGGGGGAAAACCUGAUCUAGCCAGGCCGGGUGAGCGAUGAAGGCCUUAGGGUUGUAAAGCUCUUUCAGCUGGGAAGAUAAUGACGGUACCAGAAGAAGAAGCCCCGGCUAACUCCGUG